rnacentral:snoRNA from 1 species
UGCAUCUAUGAUGCCUGUUGGUAGAGGUGUGUGAGUCAACAGCUCUGGUAAAGCCUGACUGUAACUCUGAGGUCCAU